UUCGGCUUCAUACGUUCGUCUUCUUCAUGGACUCGUUCUUCUUCCUAGCGGGAUUUCAGGCAAGAUGACCGCUACCCUGGAUCUCACUACUAUCAUUGCUAUGCUAGUUGCUUCGCUCUAUCGCUAUGCUGCGCUACCUAUCAUUUGCUCUUCAAGCCUCCCAAAUUGCCAUGAACCUCUAACCUUUGACACCAUUCCUAUGCAAACUGUUGUUCGGCUAUGUUACCGCUUUGCUCAGCCCCUCUUAUAGCGUUGCUAGUUGCAGGUGAAGUUGAAGAUUUCUCCAUGGUGGACAGGGUUUUUGUUGGGAUAUCACAAUAUCUCUUAUAUUAUUAAUGCAUCUAUAUACUUGGUAAAGGGUGGAAGGCUCGGCCUUAUGCCUGGUGUUUUGUUCCACUCUUGCUGCCCUAGUUUCCGUCAUACCGGUGUUAUGUUCCCGGAUUUUGCGUUCCUAACGCGGUCGGGUGAUUUAUGGGACCCCCCUGACAGUUCGCUUUGAAUAAAACUUGUCCAGCAAGGCCCAACCUUGGUUUUACCAUUUGCCUCACCACCACCUACCUUUUCCCUUGGGAGUAAUUAACCCAAGGGUCAUCUUUAUUAUAGCCCCCCCCCCCGGGCCAGUGCUUGUCUAAGUGUUGGUCCGAACCGAGCAGCCUGCGGGGCCACCUCUUGGCAACUCGAGGGCUGGUUUUACUCGUAGCUUGACUUAUCCGGUGUUGCCCUGAGAACGAGAUAUGUGCAGCUCCUAUUGGGAUUGUCGGCGCAUCGGGCGGCUUUGCUGGUCUUGUUUUACCAUUGUCGAAAUGUCUUGAUGUACCGGGAUACCGAGUCUGAUCGGAGUGUCUCGGGUGAAGGUCUAUUCCUUCGAUGAUCGCGAGAGCUUGUCAUGGGCUAAGUUGGGACACCCCUGCAGGGUAUAAACUUUCGAGAGCCGUGCCCACAGUUAUGUGGUAGAUGGGAAUUUGUUAAUGUCCGGUUGUAGAUAACUUGACACCAGAUCCGAAUUAAAACGCAUCAACCGAGUGUGUAGCCAUGAUGGUCUCUUCUCGGCGGAGUCCGGGAAGUGAACACGGUUUCUGGGUUAUGUUUGACGUAAGUAGGUGUUCAGGAUCACCUCUUGAUCAUUGCUAGCUUCACGACCAUUCCGCUUGUUCUCUUCUCGCUCUUAAUUGCGUUGGUUAGCCACCAUAUCAUGCUUAGUCGCUGCUGCAACCUCACCACUUUACCCCUUCCUUACCCAUUAAGCUUUGCUAGUCUUGAUACCCAUGGUAAUGGGAUUGCUGUGUCCUCAUGGCUCACCAGAUACUUCCAAAACCAGUUUGCAGGUGCCUAUGUUACCGAGCAGGUGACGCAAUCAAGCUCAAGGAGGAGCUCGAUGAAGAUCUUGCCCUUUGUGUUUUGUUUCGUUCUAGUUGAUCCGUAGUGGAGCCCAGUUGGGGUCGAUCGGGGACCUUUGUCGCUUUUGGGGUUCUUCUUUUAUUUUGGUUCCGUAGUCGGACCUUGAUUGUAUCUGGAUGAUGUAAUGCUUUAUUCAUGUAUUUGUGUGAAGUGGCGAUUGUAAGCCAACUAUGUAUCUCUUUCCCUUAUGUAAUACUUGGGUUGUGUGAAGAUUACCUCACUUGCGACAUUGCUUUCAAUGCGGUUAUGCCUCUAAGUCGUGCUUCGACACGUGGGAGAUAUAGCCGCAU
rnacentral:lncRNA from 1 species